CGGGGCGUCCCCUUAUCCAUGUUAGUCAAGCGGUAGAGAGAAGCUUGCUUCUCUUGAGAGCGGCGGACGGGUGAGUAAUGCCUAGGAAUCUGCCUGGUAGUGGGGGAUAACGUUCGGAAACGGACGCUAAUACCGCAUACGUCCUACGGGAGAAAGCAGGGGACCUUCGGGCCUUGCGCUAUCAGAUGAGCCUAGGUCGGAUUAGCUAGUUGGUGAGGUAAUGGCUCACCAAGGCGACGAUCCGUAACUGGUCUGAGAGGAUGAUCAGUCACACUGGAACUGAGACACGGUCCAGACUCCUACGGGAGGCAGCAGUGGGGGAAAAUUGGAAAAGGGGCAAAACCCGAUCCCCCCCCUCCCCCCGGGGGGAAAAAAACUCCCAUUUUUUAAAAAUUUUUUUUUUUUUGGGGGGGGGGGGGGGAAACCCAUACUUUUUUGUUUUGACGUGACCGCCACAAAAAACCCCGGUAACUCUGUGCGCCCAACCCCCGGUAAUACAGAGGGUGCAAGCGUUAAUCGGAAUUACUGGGCGUAAAGCGCGCGUAGGUGGUUAGUUAAGUUGGAUGUGAAAUCCCCGGGCUCAACCUGGCAACUGCAUUCAAAACUGACUGACUAGACUAUGGUAAAGGGUGGUGAAUUUCCAUGUGUAGCGGUCAAAUGCAUAGAUGUAGGACGUACACCAGUGGCGAGGCGACCGCCUGAACUGAUACUGACACUGAGUGCGAAAGCGUAGGGGGAGCAAACUGAUAAGAUACCCUGAUAUGCCACGCCGUAAACCAAUGUCACUAGCGUGGGGAGCAUGGACCUCGUAGUGGCGCACCUACGCAUUAAGUGACCGGCUUGGGAGUACGCCCGAGGUCAAUCAAUGAUGACCUGAGGCCGCUCAACGGUGCACAUGGCUGAUCUGACUGCAAACUACCGCUGACUCCAUGAGAU
rnacentral:rRNA from 1 species